UACCUGGUCUUGACAUCCACAGAACUUUCCAGAGAUGGAUUGGUGCCUUCGGGAACUGUGAGACAGGUGCUGCAUGGCUGUCGUCAGCUCGUGUUGUGAAAUGUUGGGUUAAGUCCCGCAACGAGCGCAACCCUUAUCCUUUGUUGCCAGCGGUCCGGCCGGGAACUCAAAGGAGACUGCCAGUGAUAAACUGGAGGAAGGUGGGGAUGACGUCAAGUCAUCAUGGCCCUUACGACCAGGGCUACACACGUGCUACAAUGGCAUAUACAAAGAGAAGCGACCUCGCGAGAGCAAGCGGACCUCAUAAAGU
rnacentral:rRNA from 1 species